rnacentral:piRNA from 1 species
UACUAUCAUAACAUCUGAAAUUAGUGGUGU